rnacentral:rRNA from 1 species
UACGGGGGGGGCAAGCGUUGUUCGGAAUUACUGGGCGUAAAGGGUGCGUAGGCGGCUUUCUAAGUUGGAUGUGAAAACUCUGGGCUCAACCCAGAGCCUGCAUCCAAAACUGGAGAGCUUGGGUUCUGGAGGGGAAAGCGGAAUUCCUGGUGUAGCGGUGAAAUGCGUAGAUAUCUGGAGGAACACCAGAGGCGAAGGCGGCGACCUGGACAGGUACUGACACUCAACUACGAAAGCGUGGGGAGCAAACAGG